CCCUUAGAUGUCCUGGGCCGCACGCGCGUUACACUGAUGCAUUCAACGAGCUUAUAACCUUGGCCGAGAGGCCUGGGCAAUCUUGUUAACGUGCAUCGUGAUAGGGAUAGAUUAUUGAAAUUAUUAAUCUUGAACGAGGAAUUCCUAGUAAACGCAGAUCAUCAAUCUGCAUUGAUUACGUCCCUGCCCUUUGUACACACCGCCCGUCGCACCUACCGAUUGGAUGGUCCGGUGAAGCCUCGGGAUUGUGGUUCUUGCCGCUUUAUUGUGGCGUGACCGCGAGAACUUGUCUAAACCUUAUCAUCUAGAGGAAGGUGAAGUCGGAACA
rnacentral:rRNA from 1 species